rnacentral:rRNA from 1 species
AGUGAACGCUGGCGGUAGGCCUAACACAUGCAAGUCGAACGGCAGCACAGUAAGAGCUUGCUCUUACGGGUGGCGAGUGGCGGACGGGUGAGGAAUACAUCGGAAUCUACUUUUUCGUGGGGGAUAACGUAGGGAAACUUACGCUAAUACCGCAUACGACCUACGGGUGAAAGCAGGGGUUCUUCGGACCUUGCGCGAUUGAAUGAGCCGAUGUCGGCUUAGCUAGUUGGCGGGGUAAAGGCCCACCAAGGCGACGAUCCGUAGCUGGUCUGAGAGGAUGGUUAGCCACACUGGAACUGAGACACGGUCCAGACUCCUACGGGAGGCAGCAGUGGGGAAUAUUGGACAAUGGGCGCAAGCCUGAUACAGCCAUACCGCGUGAGUGAAGAAGGCCUUCGGGUUGUAAAGCCCUUUUGUUGGGAAAGAAGAGCAGCAGGUUAAUACCCCGCUGUUCUGACGGUACCCAAAGAAUAAGCACCGGCUAACUUCGUG